rnacentral:rRNA from 1 species
AUUGAACGCUGGCGGCAUGCUUUACACAUGCAAGUCGAACGGCAGCGCGGGGCAACCUGGCGGCGAGUGGCGAACGGGUGAGUAAUACAUCGGAACGUACCCAGAAGUGGGGGAUAACGUAGCGAAAGUUACGCUAAUACCGCAUACGUUCUACGGAAGAAAGUGGGGGACCUUCGGGCCUCAUGCUUUUGGAGCGGCCGAUGUCUGAUUAGCUAGUUGGUGAGGUAAAGGCUCACCAAGGCGACGAUCAGUAGCUGGUCUGAGAGGACGACCAGCCACACUGGGACUGAGACACGGCCCAGACUCCUACGGGAGGCAGCAGUGGGGAAUUUUGGACAAUGGGCGAAAGCCUGAUCCAGCAAUGCCGCGUGAGUGAAGAAGGCCUUCGGGUUGUAAAGCUCUUUUGUCAGGGAAGAAACGGCUGAGGAUAAUACCUUCGGCUAAUGACGGUACCUGAAGAAUAAGCACCGGCUAACUACGUG